GUAAUUGCGGAGUUCUUUCCUUUAUGGUUUUUUUUUUUUAAGAUUUUAUAUUUUUCGCAUUAAAUAUUUAAUUAACGGUUUCCGGGCCAUUUCAGUGCACGGACUAAAGAAUGAAAUGUAGGCUCUUGGUUGGCUCGGACAAACCCCAUGCUUUACUAGUUCAAGAAGAACUUAACUGUGCACAACGUAUUGAGUUGUAUUUGCUUUUAUUACUCCUAGUUUUAUGCCCACAAUAUGUUUGUGAACAGCGUUUUAUAAUUUGUGUUAUUAUUAUUUUACCGAGACGUCUAUUAAAUAAUAUAAAUUAUUUGCUUAAUCAUCUGGAAGUUAUUAGCCCUUGACUUAUUGAACUCUUUUUACGAAGAACUAUAUGAAAUUAUUAAAGCAAUUAGCCUAGGCUUCUAUUGGACUAUUUGCUCUAAAUCUCGAUGUGUCUCUAUUGAUUGGAAUUCCAUUUUAUUGUUUUAUUUCUAUUGAAUGUAUUUAGACUGUACAGCCAUAAUUUCAUUUGUUAUUUACACAUUAGCUAAGAGUGGAUUCAUUUUAUUGUAUUUACAAUAUUUAGUUUUUUAAAAAACUGUAAGCGUUUCAUUUUCAUUUUGUCUUUUUUACAAUCACCUAAAAUUCUUGAAUGGACCAAAGAUUUCAAUGAAGAUGGUCACUGAUAGAUGUUUGAUCCCUGUCUACAUUGAAACCAUUGAAAGCUCAUUGAAAAGAGACCCAGCUGUAAAAGCUGUCUUGACAUUGGGAUAUACAGAAAAGGAUGCCAUCGAGACAGCUACAUUACUGAAAGAAGAAACGGUUCCUCUGUCUUCUGAUGUGCUUCUUGAAAGAUUGAGUAAAGAAAUGAAAUGUCCAGUGAAUCCACAUUGUAUUAAGACAAAGUCAUUGGUCACUAAGAAAGACCUAGGACAAUCGUUAGAGUUGUUUUCAAGAAACGUGAGCAACCAGGUUUCAAUUUUUGCUCACUCCGAAUAAGCGAUCUGAAUAGAGGAGGUAUUCUAAAAAGAGGAUACCGUCAAUGCUAACGUUACUAGCAAGGGUUGCUGAAUGUAAAUGAAACCUGUGCUGUGUGUCAUGAUCAUCUUGGUGAGCUCAAAGAAAGAAACAACUAACUUGGCCAGCAGACAGUCUGCAAGAUUUGCUUGGAUCAAGAAGUAGCCGUAGUGUUUCUGCCUUGUGGACAUUUAGUGUCUUGUUCUGAAUGUGCCAUUGCCAUGAUAGAUUGUCCGGUUUGUAGGACAAAGGUCAAGGGGAUAGUUAGAGCGUUCAUGGACUAGAUAAUGCUGAAAAGUUUAAACCUAAACACAGUACAGACAAAAAAUUAAAAAUAUUUUUAAAUUAUUUAUUAAAACAAAACUUAUCUAAGGAGAAAAACAUCAAAAUCACUACCAUAUAUCCUAAUGCUGUAGGAAUAAGCUUCCUUUUUUCUUUACAAAACAAAAUGUAUUAAUUAUUACCUAUUGAUUACUUAAUUGGUUAAUUCUUUUGUUAAUCCAUAUAUUAAAAUAUUAUCUGUUUAUUACAGUCAAUGAAUUUGAAAGCUUACUUUCUUUAUAUCCUAUUUCUAUGUUGUUUUGAUUUUUAAAAGAUUGCUGCUCCAUUAUAAUGAAUCAUUUUUGGAAAUUGUGCUAAAUAAUAGUGUUGUAUUAUUUUAAAGAAAAUAAAAUAACAUCAAUUAACACACACACAAAAUUGUUUUGGUUUGAAGUUGAAUAGAAUGCUAAACGCGGACAUUGGUCCUAUUAUAUUAAAACAGCAUAAAAUCAUCAAGAAAUGUUUUAAAAUUUAUUAAUAAAAAGCUGAGAUGACGCACUCUUAUACGAAACUGUACUUUUGAUACUUUAUCAUAACGUUUGUUUUUACAUUAGUAGUCAAUAUGGCUGACAUGCAAUCGUUAAGACUGAUAGAAGACAGAAGAUUGUCACAAGAUUUGGUAAAAUAACCAUUACAUUUCACCGCACAAGGUCACAACAACCACAGAGACGUCUGAUAUAACCUUUGAGCAUUAGUAAAAUUUCAAGAGAACUUUUUAAUAAAAUAGUAACAUACAUCAAACAUGCAGGCAAUAUUGCGCUAUGUGGAAUUCAUUAUUAAAAUUUCCUUAGAAAACUAUUUCAAAACAUCGAACUGUGUUCAAUUACUAUGGUAACGUAAAGU